rnacentral:rRNA from 1 species
CUGCCGGAGGCCAUUGCUAUUGGAGUCCGAUUUAGCCAUGCUAGUCGAGCGGGCUUAGACCCGCGGCGAAAAGCUCAGUGACACGUGGCCAAACUGCCCUGUGGAGACGGACACCCUCGGGAAACUGAGGCUAACCCGUCACACCGCUCCCACGCUGGAAUGCCGGGAGCCCGAAACGCUUCGGCGCCACAGGAUGUGGCUGCGGCCGAUUAGGUAGACGGUGGGGUAACGGCCCACCGUGCCAAUAAUCGGUACGAGUUGUGAGAGCAAGAGCUCGGAGACGGAAUCUGAGACAAGAUUCCGGGCCCUACGGGGCGCAGCAGGCGCGAAACCUUUACACUGCACGCGAGUGCGAUAGGGGGACUCCAAGUGCGAGGGCAUACAGUCCUCGCUUUUCUGGACCGUAAGGUGGUCCAGGAACAAGUGCUGGGCAAGACCGGUGCCAGCCGCCGCGGUAAUACCGGCAGCCCAAGUGAUGGCCGCUCUUAUUGGGCCU